rnacentral:rRNA from 1 species
CCUACGUGAGGCUGCAGUGGGGAAUAUUGGUCAAUGGGCGAAAGCCUGACCCCGCAACGCCGCGUGAAGGAAGAAGGCUUUCGGGUUGUAAACUUCUUUUGACAGGGAAGACCCGAAGACGGUACCUGUCGACUAAGACACUGCUAACUACGUACCAGCAGCCUCGGUAAUACGUAGGUGGCAAGCGGUUUCCGGAUUUACUGGGUGUAAAGGGCGUGUAGCCGGGCUGACAAGUCAGAUGUGAAAUCCGGGGGCUCAACCCCCGAACUGCAUUUGAAACUGUUGGUCUUGAGUAGGGGAGAGGCAGGCGGAAUUCGUAGUGUAGCGGUGAAAUGCGUAGAUAUGAGGAGGAACAC